rnacentral:rRNA from 1 species
ACUCUUAUUAAACCUAAAGGCGCAAUGAAAGUAAAGGUCCGCCUUGCGCGGACCGAGGGAGGAUGGGCCCGUUCACGGGCGGGCCCCGCACUCCCGGGGCGUCUCGUUCUCAUCGCGAGAAGAGGCGCACCCAGAGCGUACACGCUGGGACCCGAAAGAUGGUGAACUAUGCCUGGUCAGGACGAAGUCAGGGGAAACCCUGAUGGAGGUCCGUAGCGAUUCUGACGUGCAAAUCGAUCGUCGGAACUGGGUAUAGGGGCGAAAGACUAAUCGAACCUUCUAGUAGCUGGUUCCUUCCGA